GCUUAACACAUGCAAGUCGAACGGGCAUCUUCGGAUGCUAGUGGCAGACGGGUGAGUAACACGUGGGAACGUACCUUUCGGUUCGGAAUAAUUCAGGGAAACUUGGACUAAUACCGGAUAANCCCUUCGGGGGAAAGAUUCAUCGCCGAUAGAUCGGCCCGCGUCUGAUUAGCUAGUUGGUGAGGUAAUGGCUCACCAAGGCGACAAUAAGUAGCUGGUCUGAGAGGAUGAUCAGCCACACUGGGACUGAGACACGGCCCAGACUCCUACGGGAGGCAGCAGUGGGGAAUAUUGGACAAUGGGCGAAAGCCUGAUCCAGCCAUGCCGCGUGUGUGAUGAAGGCCUUAGGGUUGUAAAGCACUUUUGUCCGGGAAGAUAAUGACUGUACCGGAAGAAUAAGCCCCGGCUAACUUCGUGCCAGCAGCCGCGGUAAUACGAAGGGGGCUAGCGUUGCUCGGAAUCACUGGGCGUAAAGGGCGCGUAGGCGGACUCUUAAGUCGGGGGUGAAAGCCCAGGGCUCANCCCUGGAAUUGCCUUCGAUACUGAGAGUCUUGAGUUCGGAAGAGGUUGGUGGAACUGCGANUGUAAAGGUGAAAUUC
rnacentral:rRNA from 1 species